GGUCGUGGACACCUACGGGCCAAGAGCUUACCGACUAGAGACUCUAGAAGGGAAUGCCAUUCUCCGGACCUGGAAUGCUGACAAUCUAAAGUUGUACUACCAGUGAACUUUGUAUCCCCUUGUCCGGAAUAUCAGAGUCUGGAAUCUCGACUCUUCGACUGAGGGUUGGCGCUCGCCAGAAGCACGAGCCCCGACGCCCUGACUUGAGCCCAACGUUCCAUUGGGAACCAACGGCCCGAUCGCCGACGACAUAUCAGACACUUGAAAGGAUUGAUACAUCCACAACGACGGGGGUUACACUCCUUCUACAGUCAAACUCUCGGGCAAA
rnacentral:lncRNA from 1 species